rnacentral:rRNA from 1 species
GGAGAUAGCUGGUUCUCCCCGAAAUAGCUUUAGGGCUAGCGUUGGUUUAGAUUACCGGAGGUAAAGCACUGAAUGGGCUAGGGGCCGAUAAGGUUACUGAACCCUAUCAAACUCUGAAUGCCGGAUAAUUGAUGACCAGCAGUCAGACUACGUGAGAUAAGUUUCGUGGUCAAAAGGGAAACAGCCCAGACCCACAGCUAAGGUCCCUAAUGUAUGCUAAGUGGAAAACGAUGUGGAGUUGCGAAAACAACCAGGAUGUUGGCUUAGAAGCAGCCACUCAUUAAAAGAGUGCGUAAUAGCUCACUGGUCGAGUGACUCUGCGCGGAAAAUAUAACGGGGCUAAGCAUACAACCGAAGCUUGGGCUGCACAGCAAUGUGUGGGGUAGGGGAGCGUCGAAUACGGGGUGAAGUCGCAUCGGAAGGAGCGGUGGACUGUAUUCGAGUGAGAAUGCCGGAAUGAGUAGCGAGAAUCAUGUGGGAAUCAUGAUGGCCGAAAAUCUAAGGUUUCUUGGGGAAGGUUCGUCCGCCCAAGGUAAGCCGGGAGCUAAGGCGAGGCCGCAAGGCGUAGUCGAUGCACAUACGGUAGAAAUUCCGUAGCCACCGAACUUUAAGCAUGCUGACACUUUGGAAUAGAGGAUCCCGGGCGUUGGUUGACCCGGGCGUAAGGGACCGAAAUUUAGUAGGGAAGUCCUCGAUGUCCAGAGGCGAGAAAAGGCAUGUGGUAUACUAAGGUGCCCGUACCGCAAACCGACACAGGUAGAUGAGGAGAGAAUCCUAAGGCCAACGGGAGAAGGGUUGUUAAGGAACUCGGCAAAAUGACCCCGUAACUUCGGGAUAAGGGGAGCCUGCGCGAGCAGGCCGCAGAGAAUAGGCCCAAGCGACUGUUUACCAAAAACACAGGUCUAUGCUAAAUCGAAAGAUGACGUAUAUGGGCUGACGCCUGCCCGGUGCUGGAAGGUUAAGAGGAGGGCUUAGCGCAAGCGAAGGUCUGAAUUGAAGCCCCAGUAAACGGCGGCCGUAACUAUAACGGUCCUAAGGUAGCGAAAUUCCUUGUCAGGUAAGUUCUGACCCGCACGAAUGGCGUAACGAUUUGGGCGCUGUCUCAACAGCCCACCCGGCGAAAUUGUUGUACUGGUGAAGAAGCCAGUUACCCGCAACUAGACGGAAAGACCCCAUGGAGCUUUACUGUAGCUUAAUACUGGAAAUCGGUAAAUCAUGUACAGGAUAGGUGGGAGACUUGGAAGUACGGGCGUCAGCUCGUAUGGAGUCGCCCUUGGGAUACCACCCUUGAUUUGCUGGUUUUCUAACCUGCGGCCGUGAAUCCGGUCGGGGGACACUGUUAGGUGGGCAGUUUGACUGGGGCGGUCGCCUCCAAAAAGGUAACGGAGGCGCUCAAAGGUUCGUUCAGCACGGACGGAAACCGUGCAUUGAGUGUAAACGCAUAAACGAGCCUAACUGCGAGACUGACGGGUCGAGCAGUAACGAAAGUUGGAGUUAGUGAUCCGGCGGUAUGUGCGUGGAAAUGCCGUCGCUCAACGGAUAAAAGCUACCCUGGGGAUAACAGGCUGAUCUCCCCCAAGCGUCCACAGCGACGGGGAGGUUUGGCACCUCGAUGUCGGCUCGUCGCAUCCUGGGGCUGAAUUCGGUCCCAAGGGUUUGGCUGUUCGCCAAUUAAAGCGGCACGCGAGCUGGGUUCAGAACGUCGUGAGACAGUUCGGUCCCUAUCUGUUGCGGGCGUAAGAGAUUUGAAGGGAGCUGUCCUUAGUACGAGAGGACCGGGAUGGACGAACCUCUGGUGCACCAGUUGUCCUGCCAAGGGCAUAGCUGGGUAGCUACGUUCGGACGAGAUAAACGCUGAAGGCAUCUAAGCGUGAAACUCCCCCUAAGAUUAGAUCUCUCACUCUUUAUGAGGUAAGGCACGUCGUAGACUAUGACGUUGAUAGGUCGGAGGUGGAAGCACGGUAACGUGUGUAGCUGACCGAUACUAAUCUGCCGAGGGCUUGACCUU